AAGGCUUUUCUCUAGCUUGUAUAGCUUACUGUAACAGCCACUGACAGAUAGGUAAACAUCGACCCUUAGUCUAUUCCAAGAUUGAAAGGAUUGACAAAGAAAGAAAACCAUCGGAAAAGGAAAAGGAAGGAUCAGAGAAGCAGAUGGAGCUGGUGUAGGCAUCCUAGAGGUAGGAUCUAGAUCUAGCCUUUGAGAAAUUUCCCCUCUUCUCGAUUUAACCAGUCUUUUUUCAAUCCAUUUCUUUCACACUUACCGGGAUUUAUUAGUAAACCCUCUUUCUUAUUGUGAAGGUAAGAGGGGCUGAUUACGGUAAGGCUUGAGAAGGUCAGGUUCGGAGG
rnacentral:lncRNA from 1 species